GGGGGCGUAAUGGUUUCGACGGGGGAAAAGGUGGUAAGAGUAGCGAGCCGGGGUUCCAUCAGCCCGUAAUACGGUGGAAAAAUUAUAAUUGCCAACAACAACGAACUAGCCUACGCGGCUUAAUGCGUAACGUCUCACCCGCGCUGGGCCCGUGGCCCGGGAUGAGGCGUAACUUAAACGGGCUUGCUCUUGGGCCAAUUCUCGGAGGCUCAAAGGGACUCUCAUCGAGAUAGCUCCCGCGGAGGCCGGCUGCGGCCGCCAAAGGCGCAAAAUUUAAAUCGCAGCCUGCGCUCGGAGAAACUCUUAUGGUCUUUCUUUCGGACGGCGGGUUCAACUCCCCCCGCCUCCACCA
rnacentral:tmRNA from 1 species